AAUCUCUGUAUGUUACAGGUGUAACAGGGUUAAAUCUCUGUCUGUUACAGGUGUAACAGGGUUAACUCUCUGUGUUACAGGUGUAACAGGGUUAACUCUCUGUGUUACAGGUGUAACAGGGUUAAAUCUCUGUGUUACAGGUGUAACAGGGUUAAAUCUCUGUGUUACAGGUGUAACAGGGUUAAAUCUCUGUCUGUUACAGGUGUAAGAGGGUUAAAUCUCUGUCUGUUACAGGUGUAACAGGGUUAAAUCUCUGUAUUACAGGAUCCUCUUCAGUGUGUUUGGUGGCUCCCAGUGUAGCAG